ACGGGGUGCAGCAGGCGCGAAAACUUGGCAAUGCGAGAAAUCGUGACCAGGGAACUCCAAGUGCAUGGGGUAAGACCCAUGCUUUUCUUGACUCUAAAUAGGUCUUGGAAUAAGGGGUGGGUAAGGACGGUGCCAGCCGCCGCGGUAAUACCGGCGCCUCAAGUGGUAGUCGCUUUUAUUGGGCCUAAAACGUCCGUAGCCGGUCUGAUACAUUCGUGGGUAAAUCAACCAGCUUAACUGGUUGAAUUCUGCGAGGACGGUCAGACUUGGGACCGGGAGAGGUGUGGGGUACGCUCAGGGUAGGGGUAAAAUCCUGUCAUCCUGAGCGGACCACCUGUUGCGAAGGCGCCACACUAGAACGGAUCCGACGGUCAGGGACGAAGCCUAGGGGCACGAACCGGAUUAGAUACCCGGGUAGUCCUAGGUGUAAACGCUGUGGACUUGAUGUUGGGGGUGCUCCGAGCACUCUCAGUGUCGAAGCGAAGGUGAUAAGUCCACUGCCUGGGAAGUACGGUCGCAAGGCUGAAACUUAAAGGAAUUGGCGGGGGAGCAC
rnacentral:rRNA from 1 species